rnacentral:rRNA from 1 species
GACGUAGGGCGCGAGCGUUGUCCGGAUUUAUUGGGCGUAAAGAGCUCGUAGGCGGCUUGUCGCGUCGACCGUGAAAACUUGGGGCUCAACCCCAAGCCUGCGGUCGAUACGGGCAGGCUCGAGUUCGGUAGGGGAGACGUGGAAUUCCUGGUGUAGCGGUGAAAUGCGCAGAUAUCAGGAGGAACACCGGUGGCGAAGGCGGGUCUCUGGGCCGAUGACUGACGCUGAGGAGCGAAAGCGUGGGGAGCGAACAGG